rnacentral:rRNA from 1 species
GACGAACGCUGGCGGCGUGCUUAACACAUGCAAGUCGAACGGAAAGGCCCUGCUUUUGUGGGGUGCUCGAGUGGCGAACGGGUGAGUAACACGUGAGUAACCUGCCCUUGACUUUGGGAUAACUUCAGGAAACUGGGGCUAAUACCGGAUAGGAGCUCCUGCUGCAUGGUGGGGGUUGGAAAGUUUCGGCGGUUGGGGAUGGACUCGCGGCUUAUCAGCUUGUUGGUGGGGUGGUGGCUUACCAAGGCUUUGACGGGUAGCCGGCCUGAGAGGGUGACCGGCCACAUUGGGACUGAGAUACGGCCCAGACUCCUACGGGAGGCAGCAGUGGGGAAUAUUGCACAAUGGGCGGAAGCCUGAUGCAGCAACGCCGCGUGCGGGAUGACGGCCUUCGGGUUGUAAACCGCUUUCGCCUGUGACGAAGCGUGAGUGACGGUAAUGGGUAAAGAAGCACCGGCUAACUACGU